rnacentral:misc_RNA from 1 species
ACUCCUACACUUAACCUUACUUCAGUUCUUCAUGUUCCUAGUUUUUCUAUAAACCUGUUGUUUGUCAGUGCUCUUACUUAAGCCCUUAAUUGCAAAAUUGAGUUUUUUCCUACACACUGUGUUUUCCAGGAACUGAAAACUGGAUGGACGAUUUUCAAUGGUAGACUCAAAGAUGACUUGUAUCUUUUGGAUGACAAAUGUGGGUUUUUUGACUAAGCUUUGCUGGGACACUCUAUGACUACUAAUGAUGAGAUUAUUCAGUGGCAUAGAUGUAUAGGACAUUCUUUUUUUUAGGUUUUAGAAUGGUUAUACCCUAUUUUAUUUAAAAAGUGCAAAUUUGAUUUGCUUGUUUGUGAUGCUUGUGAGCUUGCUAAACACACAAGACAUUCUUACCCUUCAAUUAAUAAUAAAAAGCUUGGUUCCUUUUGAGACUAUUUAUUCUGAUAUGUGGGGAUCUACCCAAACUAUUUCUUUAUCUGGUUGUCGAUGGUUUGUUACCUAUAUUGAUUGUUGCACUAGACUGACCUAAGUAUGUUUGAUGAAAGCAAAAAGUUCAGUGUUUACUUAUUUCCAACAAUUUCAUAAAAUGAUUUGGACUUAAUUUGAUGCAAAAGUAAAAAUUUUCAGAACAGAUAAUGGG